rnacentral:ncRNA from 1 species
GAAGACAUCCGUCGAAGUUCAGCGUUGAUGCGUAAACACGAAAGGUAGUGAGGGUGAAAGGUAUCGGCUGGCUGCCGGACCCUGAACGAGAUUGAGCUCCGAAAACAUGGUUCCUGUUGGAUACUGCCCAAGGCCUGUGCAUGUUGGAAGGCAAUACUUGUCGCCGCAUUUUGGCGAGCGGCAUCGAGAGUCCCGGAGUCGAAGAUCC